CCGACCUUAGCUCAGUUGGAAGAGCGCGAGACUGUAAUUGGUUGUUUGUCAUCUUGAGGUCGCCUGUUCGAGCCAGGCAGGUCGGA